rnacentral:tRNA from 2 species
GCGCCCGUAGCUCAGUGGAUAGAGCAGGUGCCUUCUAAGCACUUGGUCGAGGGUUCGACCCCCUCCGGGCGCG